rnacentral:lncRNA from 1 species
ACGAUCAGGUUGUCAUCAAUCUCAAGAACAUUAUUAGUGGACAAUGAAAUUAAGAUGGCCAGGAGGUUGGAUUUUCACACUAAGCUGUGUGUGGCCUCUAUUUCUUCAGUUGUUACUCUAGCAGCAGUCCUAGCCUAUGUGUUGUCUCCCUAGUAAGGUCGUGUUUUUAGUGAUCGUUUAGCUGAUGCACUAAGCUGCUUCUCCAGAUUGUAUGAUGAUUAUAUGUUCCUCCUUUAUCUCAUUAUAAUAUAUUAUGUUAUGUUGGAGUUCACCGUAUCAAAUUCGAGUUGAUUUCGCAUAUCAAUUAUUCAUUAUGACCUUUUUUGAUGCAUGUUGUUCCCUGCC